rnacentral:rRNA from 1 species
UGGGGGAUAUUGCACAAUGGGCGAAAGCCUGAUGCAGCGACGCCGCGUGGAGGAUGAAGGUCUUCGGAUUGUAAACUCCUGUUAAACGGAAAGAAAUCUUUGUAAAUAAUACGUACAAAGGAUGACGGUACCGUUAGAGAAAGCCCCGGCUAACUUCGUGCCAGCAGCCGCGGUAAGACGAAGGGGGCGAGCGUUAUUCGGAAUUACUGGGCGUAAAGAGCGUGUAGGCGGUUAAUUAAGUUAGUUGUUAAAUUUCUCAGCUUAACUGGGAACCAGCAAUUAAUACUGAUAGACUAGAGAACAAGAGAGAGAAGUGGAAUUCUCGGAGUAGCGGUAAAAUGCGUAGAUCUCGAGAGGAACACCGGUUGCGAAGGCGGCUUCUUGGCUUGUUUCUGACGCUAAAGCGCGAAAGCGUGGGGAGCAAACAGG